CAAUCUGCUGCAAGCAGCCAAGGAGAUAGCAUCACCUGGUUGGACCCGCUGCUCAUAACAUCUUAGAGGUUUGUAUAGAAAAGCCUGAGGGCAUCUCUGACUAGCACCUGAAUGUUCCACAACCUGGGUGGUAACUGAAGUACCCCAAAUGUGUUUGAGACGGUGCUGUUUUACAUGUCUUGUCUCUGGCCUUGUAUAUACUGACCCACCUCUUCUGUCGGAAGUUCUGUUGGCAGACAGGAGCUACCAUCACCAUGGGACAAGUCCAUGCACACAUAUGAACACUUAUGGAUGUUUUACUGGCAGGACAUGAAUUGCACCCUUGGAAGGCGCUAGCUUCUCCAGGGAUCAGCUGCCAGAUCCAUUCUUCUUUCUCUUAGCAGAGGGGCAGAAAGGAAGGUUCUGUUAACAGAGGAUUUUUACCAGCAAAAAAACUACCUCACACAUAUACUAGAAAAUUAACUAGCCAAGUUAUGGUGAAAUAGGUUUUCCACCAUGAUUCUGUCAGCUUCUCUUUGAAGACUCCCUAGAAGAGUGUCGAGAUCCCUUCACACGGCUGAGAAAGGAGUGCAAACAGAAGUUAAAUAAAAGCCAAGUCAGGUUCUGAAAUAACAAAUAAAAGAGUCUCCCUUAUAAUCUGACCAACAAACACAUCAUUCCCAUGUCCAAAUAGUAAAGUCAAAGGAACAUAUUUCUUUAUAUGUAGUCCACAAAAAGAUAGGGACUUCCAACAGUGCUCUGGUGCAAAAAUAAAAGGCUAGUUUAAGGAUAAGAAAAGUCUUUUUUAAAUCGGACUUAGUCUUUAAUUUCUUUCAACCAUUGUUCUGUAUUACUAGCAGCAAUCACAUUUCCAAAAAACACCCUGUGUAGAAGGGAGGGACCCUUUGUUGAAUAAAGUGGACGUGCCCUAACAAAUAGGAAGCUUUAUAAAAAUUCUGCUCCAUUUCUGAAAACCCAGACAAGAACUGAGGGAAUUUUUGCCUCUCCCCAUAUUCAGCUUUUCUAAAGAAUCAUAGUUUAGGGAACAUCCCGAGUAUUUGCAUAUGCAUGUUAACUUAAGCAACUGAAUAACUGGGCUAAAUAAAUAGCCAGCAAAACCACUCCUCUACA